UUUUUUCUUUACUAAGGCAGUUUAAAAUUAUUAAUUCCAAAAUAAGGGCGUUUUUAAGAUAUCUUAAGCCACUCCUAUUCAUUUCUCUUUAGAAGCAAAAUAUCCUAAUCACUCUUUUUCUUUGGAAUCGAAUUCAACCUGGAGAAAUUUUUUUUGAAAUUUUUUUUUUGGUUAAAAUUUUAAGCUACUUUUUCAUCAUAAUUUUAUUUGAAAUAAUAAGUGAAAUGCAGAAAAAAUAUACUAAAAUUCAAGUAGAGCAACAUAGUAAAGUCUCCUCUUUCAAUUUUCAAUACUCCGUUUGGUAUGUCUCGCUUUCGAUUGAAUUUUAAUUUGAACUUUUUCCUUUUUUAUGAAAUAGAGUUCAACAGUUUUACUGUAUUUCCUCAUCUUUUCACUAAUGAAACUCUGAUUUAACUUAAAAAGAAGUUAAACAGUUUCAACUUUGCCUGAAAUUUCUCCAAAGUGUAUGGGGCAAGGGGGUUUCUCUAGGGAUUUGGUAGAGACAGACGAAGUUGCCGUCCGCCAUUUAGAUCCCCUCUUUACCCUUAUUGGGAAAUUUAAUCACAUGGGAUUCAGUGGGAAAGGCAUAGCGUCAGCCAUGGUCGGAUUAGUAAAAGGAAUUAUUUAAGCCGGCAAAGCAGGGCUCAAUGUGGCCGGGUUUUUGGAUGCGAUAUCGACGGGGCAGCUGAGCUCAAAAUCGUUGGAUUUGUAAGGGAACCGGAUUUUAAUGAGGGAUUUCGAACCAGGCUUUUUCGUCAACCAUUUUGUUAAGGAUUUGGGGAUUUGUUUAAAGGAAUGUCAGAUCACGGGACUUGCUUUGUAGUUCAACAGCUUUAUUUGUUGCUUAUGGCUCAUUGAGGAAGGAAUAUGAUAACUCAAGCUCUGAUUUUGCCUCUGGACAGGCACACCUUAAAACCGGUUGAAGGUGCACAAAGGCACCAAAUUGUAUGAAAUGGUUUGGUUGAUUGAAAUAGGUACCAAAAGGUCUAUUUUGUGCUAAAAACAAAGUCCAUGUCAAGACAUCAAGUGAUGAUCGUCACAAUGAGAUUUGGGAUUUUGAUCACGGCGUGACAAGGAACCCCGUCGUAACAAUAAGGCAAACUAGACAGUCACAUUGCGACGAGUAACUUCACAUCGCAAUGUCGUAUUGAAAUUUUGAAAAUGUUGCAAUUUGGUUUUAAUACAGUUCUGGGUUAACUUUAGAGCAUUUGUAAGCUCAUAUAAGACCUGAGAAAAUUUGUAUUAUGAACUCAUGAUCUGUAAUGAUUGUGUUUGCAUUUUUUUAUAUUUUAAUGUGAAUGUUAAUUGUCUGUAGUUGUUCCGGUAACAAGUGUAACAUUUCGUAAUUCAGACUCGACGAUCGGAUUGGACGAAGAGUGUUACACUAGCAGAGGACCAUUCAACUGAAAUUGUGGUGAUGUAUUGUUCUGAGGUAUAUUAAGAUUCAAUCUCUGGUUCAUAUUUCGUCGACCAA